UACGAAGGGGGGCUAGCGUUGCUCGGAAUUACUGGGCGUAAAGCGCACGUAGGCGGCUUUCUAAGUCGGGGGGUGAAAUCCUGGAGCUCAACUCCAGAACUGCCUUCGAUACUGGAGAGCUCGAGUCCGGGAGAGGGUGAGUGGAACUGCGAAGUGUAGAGGUGAAAUUCGGUAGAAUUAUUCGCAAGAACACCUAGGUGGCGAA
rnacentral:rRNA from 1 species